ensembl:lncRNA
GGGGGGAGAUAGGCCUCCAUACCUUGGAGGGCCUGAGAUGUUCCUAGAGAGGUGGCUCUGAUACCCAACCUGACAUAUAGACACAAACAAACAAGCACACACAGAUACAAACAUCCAUUCCCACCCUCAUGCUCUCACAUGAAAUUACUCAACACUCACCCAACGUGGAGACAGACAGAAAAUAGACACAGUACACACAAUCACACUCCCCAAGCGCACUCUAUACCCCAGGUCUAGGUACCCUUGCCCCUGGAGGGGGAAAAUGCACCCAGACCCAGGUAGUGUUAAUGUUUGCUGUUGGCUCAUGUUACUCAGUAGAGUUCAGCAGGCAUAUUAUGUUUAAUGUUUAUUUUUCUCUCAAGUGAAACACUGCAAAUGUCACUGAGGAAGUGUUGCUUGGCAUUCUUUUUUUAAUUCUUUUUGUUUUCAUAGAUCCAAUUUAACAAUAAGCUGUUCAUAAUAUUCCAAUUAAAAAAAUUCAACAAAGACCCAUGACUGUCAUGGGCAGCUAAAAUCCAAACAAGAAUUGGACAUAAUUCCUCUCAAACUAUAGCAACUGGUCUCAUCAUUUCUUACAAGAUUAUGAACUAUUGUUGAAUGAAGAGAAUGAAGUGACUGGAUUAAUACUUGGGCAGGAACCUGUUUGCAUCACAUUGUAAUAGACAUGGAACCUCUGACAUAAUUUCUUGUGACCUCUGUCCACUGUUGUCACUGUGUUGAGAUCAUCACUCUUGCUGUGAUCUUUCCUAGAAUUUAACCAAGACAUCUUGACAUCAAAACCUUACCAAUCCUCUAUAAAAACUCUUUUGCAGUGUUGUAUGAUGUAUUUGAGUUAAUUGCAUCAAUGUACAGUAAUAUUGUAUGUCUAAAAUCUAGGAUGAAAUUGUGUUCAUUUUCAAUUACUCCGUAAAAACAUGGUGAAAUUAACAUGGUUACAAUCUGUAUAACACACAACAUAAAAAAGGCUACACAUGUGUAGCUUAUAAACCUUUGUGUGACGUUUGUUAUAUAUGUAGUAGUUAUAUGCUUCCAUGUUAAAUUUGUAUCUGUAAAUGAAAACACUGCAACCAGUCAUGUGUACUGAAAGGACAUUUUCUAUUGUGGCAACACCAUCAACUUGUUUAAAGACGUGAAAUUAUGAAAAAGGGGGAAGAGGGGAGGAAGGAAAUCUGUCAGACAGACACAAAUGGCCAAGACAGAGCUCAGAGAGGGACUCAAGUCUCUCAGCCCUUUCAGAGAUGCGAAUAUUAAAUAUGUACCUCAUGUAGGGAUCAACGUAAUUUUUCAGUCUUGACCCAUAUUCGGUUCUUCAGUAUUAAUCAAUGUUAGUGUUAUUGUUGUUACUUUAGCAGACUGACAACCUAAAAACUAUAUUCAGGUCUUCAAAUAAUAUAUUCAGCCCACUGAAUUCCUGUCAUGGUCCCUGUGCCUGCCCAGCCGGCCUCACAAGGCUACACUUGUGUUUUUGCUUUUUCUCUCUCUCCCCUACCUCUCUGCCUGGGCGGAGCUCACAGCUGGCUCCCACCCUUGGCUCACACAGCUGUUGGCGAUCAGCUGAUUACCGAUCUACUAUUUGAGGCUGGGUCACAGAUCCUCUCAUCGCUGGAUGAUUGAGCUACUGACUUUAUCUUCCCGGACCUGUGACCUCCCCGCAGUACGGACGUGUGUGAGUCGGAUGUGAGGACGUGAGCGAGCGUGAGAGAGAGAGCCUUCCCCUAAUCCCCUGGAACCCUGGACUUUCCCCGUCACUGUAUAUAGUAUUUAACUGGUGUGUAAAUAAAUCGUGUUCUG